rnacentral:rRNA from 1 species
UACGUAGGCAGCAAGCGUUGUUCGGAGUUACUGGGCGUAAAGGGUGCGUAGGUGGCUCUAUAAGUAUGGUGUGAAAUCUCCCGGCUUAACUGGGAGGGUGCGCCGUAGACUGUGGGGCUAGAGUGUGGGAGAGGAAAGUGGAAUUCCUGGUGUAGCGGUGAAAUGCGUAGAUAUCAGGAGGAACACCGGUGGUGUAAACGGCUUUCUGGACCAUAACUAACACUGAGGCACGAAAGCGUGGGUAGCAAACAGG